UGCAAGUCGAACGGUAACAGGAAGUGCUUGCACUUUGCUGACGAGUGGCGGACGGGUGAGUAAUACUUAGGGAUCUGCCUUCGGGAGGGGGAUAACCAUUGGAAACGAUGGCUAAUACCGCAUAACGUCUACGGACCAAAGGGGGCGCUUGCGCUCUCGCCUGAAGAGGAACCUAAGCGAGAUUAGCUAGUUGGUGAGGUAAAGGCUCACCAAGGCGACGAUCUCUAGCUGUUCUGAGAGGAAGAUCAGCCACACUGGGACUGAGACACGGCCCAGACUCCUACGGGAGGCAGCAGUGGGGAAUAUUGCACAAUGGGGGGAACCCUGAUGCAGCCACGCCGCGUGUGUGAAGAAGGCCUUCGGGUUGUAAAGCACUUUCAGUUGUGAGGAAAAGUUGAUGGUUAAUACCCAUCAGCCGUGACGUUAGCAACAGAAGAAGCACCGGCUAACUCCGUGCCAGCAGCCGCGGUAAUACGGAGGGUGCGAGCGUUAAUCGGAAUUACUGGGCGUAAAGCGCACGCAGGCGGAUUGUUAAGCUAGAGGUGAAAGCCCCGCGCUCAACGUGGGAAUUGCCUUUAGAACUGGCAGUCUAGAGUCUUGGAGAGGGGAGUGGAAUUCCAGGUGUAGCGGUGAAAUGCGUAGAGAUCUGGAGGAACAUCAGUGGCGAAGGCGACUCCCUGGCCAAAGACUGACGCUCAUGUGCGAAAGUGUGGGUAGCGAACAGGAUUAGAUACCCUGGUAGUCCACACCGUAAACGCUGUCUACUAGCUGUUUGUGUAUUUAAUGCGUGAGUAGCGAAGCUAACGCGCUAAGUAGACCGCCUGGGGAGUACGGCCGCAAGGUUAAAACUCAAAUGAAUUGACGGGGACCCGCACAAGCGGUGGAGCAUGUGGUUUAAUUCGAUGCAACGCGAAGAACCUUACCUACACUUGACAUGCUGA
rnacentral:rRNA from 1 species